rnacentral:rRNA from 1 species
GACGAACGCUGGCGGCGUGCUUAACACAUGCAAGUCGAACGGAAAGGCCCUUCGGGGUACUCGAGUGGCGAACGGGUGAGUAACACGUGGGUGAUCUGCCCUGCACUUUGGGAUAAGCCUGGGAAACUGGGUCUAAUACCGAAUAGGACCACGCGCUUCAUGGUGUGUGGUGGAAAGCUUUUGCGGUGUGGGAUGGGCCCGCGGCCUAUCAGCUUGUUGGUGGGGUAAUGGCCUACCAAGGCGACGACGGGUAGCCGGCCUGAGAGGGUGACCGGCCACACUGGGACUGAGAUACGGCCCAGACUCCUACGGGAGGCAGCAGUGGGGAAUAUUGCACAAUGGGCGCAAGCCUGAUGCAGCGACGCCGCGUGAGGGAUGACGGCCUUCGGGUUGUAAACCUCUUUCAAUAGGGACGAAGCGCAAGUGACGGUACCUAUAGAAGAAGCACCGGCCAACUACGUGCCAGCAGCCGCGGUAAUACGUAGGGUGCGAGCGUUGUCCGGAAUUACUGGGCGUAAAGAGCUCGUANGUGGUUUGUCGCGUUGUUCGUGAAAACUCACAGCUUAACUGUGGGCGUGCGGGCGAUACGGGCAGACUAGAGUACUGCAGGGGAGACUGGAAUUCCUGGUGUAGCGGUGGAAUGCGCAGAUAUCAGGAGGAACACCGGUGGCGAAGGCGGGUCUCUGGGCAGUAACUGACGCUGAGGAGCGAAAGCGUGGGGAGCGAACAGGAUUAGAUACCCUGGUAGUCCACGCCGUAAACGGUGGGUACUAGGUGUGGGUUCCUUCCUUGGGAUCCGUGCCGUAGCUAACGCAUUAAGUACCCCGCCUGGGGAGUACGGCCGCAAGGCUAAAACUCAAAGGAAUUGACGGGGGCCCGCACAAGCGGCGGAGCAUGUGGAUUAAUUCGAUGCAACGCGAAGAACCUUACCUGGGUUUGACAUGCACAGGACGCCGGCAGAGAUGUCGGUUCCCUUGUGGCCUGUGUGCAGGUGGUGCAUGGCUGUCGUCAGCUCGUGUCGUGAGAUGUUGGGUUAAGUCCCGCAACGAGCGCAACCCUUGUCCUAUGUUGCCAGCGGGUUAUGCCGGGGACUCGUAGGAGACUGCCGGGGUCAACUCGGAGGAAGGUGGGGAUGACGUCAAGUCAUCAUGCCCCUUAUGUCCAGGGCUUCACACAUGCUACAAUGGCCGGUACAAAGGGCUGCGAUGCCGUGAGGUGGAGCGAAUCCUUUCAAAGCCGGUCUCAGUUCGGAUCGGGGUCUGCAACUCGACCCCGUGAAGUCGGAGUCGCUAGUAAUCGCAGAUCAGCAACGCUGCGGUGAAUACGUUCCCGGGCCU